AUUCCUGCUUUAUACAAUAAUUUCUAUCUCACAGGGCUGUUGUGAGAAUUCAAGGAGCAAAUCUAAAUAACGUGGUCCCCAGCCCUUAAUAUGCAGGCAGCUGUAACUAAUUUUUCCCUAAAUGGGGAAACCAAGAUUCCGAUGGAUUAGCUGAUUUGCUCAAGGAAAGAGCCUAGGGGCUGGGAGGCUCUCUGGGUGCAGGUAAACAAGGCAGACCCACACAGUCCCUGCUCUCCUGGAGUUCACAACGUGGUGGAGAGAAAGACAUUGACCAGAAAACUGUACAGAUCACCAUGUAAUGGCACUGUGAUAAAGACCAUGAAGAAGGAAUGGGAGGGUGGGUUACACAGUGGCCUGACCUUGCCUGGGGAGGUCAGGGCGUCUUCCCUGUGACCAAAGUCACUGGAUCUAAAGGAUGAGUGGGAGUGGGCCUGGUGAAGAGCUGGGGCAGAGUGCCCUGCGGAACAGCACGAGGAGCUCUUUGGAAUGUUCAAAUGUUGACCCAGCCAUCGUGCUCCCAGCCUCACCAGAUUCAGGCCACGAAACUUGCCAGCGAGGACCUCCCGCAUCCCAAGCCCCGCAUCCCGCCUCUCGCAGGGGCUCCGGUCCGCCCAGGCGGGGGCAACGGCUCUUGCCAGCACAGCACCGCGUCAGGCCGGGCCACCUGACCCAGGCGCAGCUCCCGCGCUUGGCGGCUCCGCGCCCCCGGCGGCCGCUGAUCGUCCGCUAAUGCGUAUCGAAUUUCUGUUGAAUUCGGCCCGCGCGGCCCGCGCAGAGAGCGCGGCGGCGGCGCUGCCAGAGCCUCUUAAUUCCUUUUGCAUCGAUCCCGCCGUUAAUGACAUAACCUUCUCCCCUAAUUAACUGACAACUGCAUUAGGCGGCGCGCCUCCUCCGCACGCCGCCUGCGGCUUCCCCACCGCGGUUCCACCCGCGCCGAGGAGCCCGCGCCAGCAAUGGGUCUAGGGCGCUGCUGUGACCGCCCUCACUAAACCCAGGGCCCUGCCACAGGCGUGGGAGGGGGCGGGUAGUGUUUCAGGAUUUGGAUGCCCUGCCAUCCUU
rnacentral:lncRNA from 1 species